AACGAACGCUGGCGGCAGGCCUAACACAUGCAAGUCGAGCGAGGUAGCGAUACCUAGCGGCGGACGGGUGAGUAACGCGUGGGAACGUACCCUUUGGUUCGGAAUAGCCCUGGGAAACUGGGAGUAAUACCGGAUACGGUCGAGAGACGAAAGAUUUAUCGCCGAAGGAGCGGCCGAUGUCGGAUUAGCUAGUUGGUGAGGUAAAGGCUCACCAAGGCGACGAUCCGUAGCGGGUCUGAGAGGAUGAUCCGCCACACUGGGACUGAGACACGGCCCAGACUCCUACGGGAGGCAGCAGUGGGGAAUUUUGGACAAUGGGCGCAAGCCUGAUCCAGCCAUGCCGCGUGAGUGAUGAAGGCCUUAGGGUUGUAAAGCUCUUUUACCCGAGAUGAUAAUGACAGUAUCGGGAGAAUAAGCUCCGGCUAACUCCGUG
rnacentral:rRNA from 1 species